CAUGCUAUUGUUGAUGGAGCACUGCCUGUCUCAAUUUUAGAAAGAAGGUCUUUCAUAGACCUCUUGCAGACCAGUGGCAUGAAGAUAAUGAGCAGGCAAGCAGCUGUAAAAAAAUUGAAGGAGCAUUAUGGUGAAGUGGUACACAAAAUCAAGUCGGAAAUGGCCUCCGUAAAACACUUCUGUACAACCGGGGAUAUUUGGUCUGGGAACCACCGGAGCUUUUUGGGGUAUACUUGCCAUUGGCUCACAGAGAACCUGGAACGCAAGUCGGCUGCUCUUGCUUGCAGGAGAAUAUUCGGCGUGCACUCAGCUGAAAAAAUUGCGCAAAUCAUUGCCGAAAUUAAUGCCGGCUUUGGUCUGAGCCCGUAGAAUGUUAUUAUGACGGUGACAGACAAUGGAUCCAAUUUUGUUAAGGCUUUCAAGGAGUACGGGUGUACGGAAACUGAAACUUCUCAUGAAGAUGAAAGCGAAAACGAUUUGCCAGUUUUCCAAAACGAGCUGCUGCUGCCAAAGCAUCUUCGAUGAUGCAGCCACACGCUGAAUUUACUUGCUUCCGCCGAUUACGUGAAGAUUUUGAGAAGUGAGCAGGCUUUGUAUAUCUAACAUUCGAUGACAUUCGAAAAAUGCAACACCUUGUGGAGGAAGUGCAAAUGGCCGAAGUCGUCGGAAAUUAUUGUGGAAUGCUUGGGAUCGACAUUGCUUGGGCCCGUUGUAACUCGGUGGAAUUCACUCUUCGACGCAGUAACGAAGUUACUUAGGGCCAAGGACAAGUUGAAUCCUUUGUGCGAAAGACUCAGCUUGUCACAGUUUUCUCCGAGCGGUUUGCAGUAUUUGGAGAUGUACCAGUUGUUGAUGGGGCCUAUUGCUCGUGCCUUGGACUACCUUCAAGGAGAAAAUAACGUGAAUUACGGCUGCUUAAUUCCGACUCUGAUGACCCUCAGCAAUAGAUUAAAUAAGCUGCAAAACAAGCCAGAAAUGCAGCAAGUUUCCUCUGUGGUUGCUAAGUUGGAGCAGCGUUUGAGAGAUCGGUUUGACGCAUUUUUUACUUUAAAACCGGAGGCCAAUAUAGCACUAGCGGCAACUGUACUAACUCCAGAUAUUAAAAUGAGCUGGGUCAAGGUGUUGUAAAGGAUAAAACUGGAGGUGACAGCAGCGGACAUAAGUACCUGGGUUUUAAACACAAUUUGCGAUUUCUAUGCAAAAGAUAAUCGUGCUUUCAAUGCACAAAUAUUGAAAAGUAAUGAAUUAUUUGCAAAUAAUAGGCAUUUUGAUUUUGACCUCAACGACACAGAUAACGAAGAAGGAACAAAUGCUACUCCUGAGCCAAGUGCUAGUGAUCGUCCGGCUUUUUUGACCCAUCACUUUUUCUGUUACUUAAAUGACAAUUCAAGAACAGACGACACUUGAGUAAAACAUUGCUGUCUAAAAGAAGCUUUUGUUGCCUUUAGUACUCCCCUGACAUCCUCAGCACCAGUAGAGAGGCUAUUUUCCUUUGCGGGGAUAGUGAACAGUCCAAGGCGCCAGUCAAUGUCGGACUUAUCAUUUGAGAAAUUGGUGUUAUUGAAAGCAAAUUCUAAAUGGAGUUAAUGUAUAUUUUUCUUGUUAUUUUGUUGUAAAUGAAUUUUGUUAUU